AUCUAGAUUAAUUAACUAGAUCUUGAAUCCAAACAAUAGAUAUGCCCGCCAUAGGUAUCUGUAGUUGGAUCUAUUAUUUGAUGAGUCUGGUUUAUAGGUGUGUAAUAAGAAUCGGCCUAUCUACUAAGAUGAACAAUUGAACUCGUUAAGAAUGCAAAUUUAUGUUGAUAGUCUCUCGGCUUCUACGGUCACUAUUAGCUAUAGAUAUAGGGAGUUUCGCGGCACGCCCACUGGUUAUUCCAUAAUU
rnacentral:sRNA from 1 species